CCUUUGAUCCCAGCAUUUUGGAGCCAGAGGCCGGCGGGUCUCUGAGUUCAAGGUCAGCCUUGUCUUCGGCCUUGACUUCAGAGUGAUUUCCUCAACAGCCAAGUAUACACAGAGUACUCUGAUUCAAGGGAGGAAAAAAGAUGCUGGGAGAAGUAAGAUCCAGUGUUGACUGAGACAGCAAGAGCAGACAAGUUAGUGAUCUAAAGGGCUCAAUACCAUAUAGCUAUGGAAUAUAUCUAGGCUGUCUACUGAAAGGAACAUGGCCUUUGAUAGGACAGAGGGCUUGGGAAGAGUUAAUGUUUGGAUUAUGAUGUGACUUUCUUGGCCCUCCAGCUUCCAAAUAUCGACACAUUAAUAUGAAUGCUUUAGGCCUUAGCACAGGCUUGUUCUCAACUAGCUCUUAUAACUUAAAUAAGUCCAUUUAUACUAAUAUUCUGUCAUGUGGCUUGUUACCUCCUGAGUAACAUCUGCUUCUUCCUCUGUGUCUGGCUACUGAAUCUUCCUGUGCUUGAUUCUUUCCCAGAAUUCCCGAUCUUUGCUGAUGCCCCACCUAUCCUCUCCUGCUUUGCUAUAGGCCAUUCAGUUCUUUAUUAAACCAAUCAGAAGAUACUGGAUGCAGUGUUUACAAGAUACAGUACAUCCAUAUGCAUGACAAUACCAAAGUCCGUUUAUCCAUUUGCACUCAACUGCCCCCCCCCCCCGCUCAGAAAUCAGUAUUUGAAUAAUACAAAGACAAUCUAUAUAGUGCACAAUAUUAUCCCAACAUUGGAUACUUUGGUGUUUUCUCUCUCUCUCUCUCUCUCUCUCUCUCUCUCUCUCUCUCUCUCUCUCUCUCUCAGUUCUGCAAAGGAGAACCAGUGUAACAGUUGUGCUAGGCAAGUUAGUAUUCUUCUACUGGGCCACACCCCACCAGUGACAGGAUUUACUGAGUUGGAUUGAUAGCCAGUCAAGUCUGUUGGUGAUCCCAGCAACUUGAAGUUGGCUUUAUCUGGCCCACUGACUUCCUGAGUAGGGAGGGCACAGAGCCAAAAUGAGUCCAGAGGAGGCCAGGUGUGGGGCCAGGAGAAAGGAAUGAGUCCAGAGGAGGCCAGGUGUGGGGCCAAGAGAAAGGAAUGAGUCCAGAGGAGGCCAGGUGUGGGGGCCAGGAGAAAGGAAUGAGUCCAGAGGAGGCCAGGAGAAAGGAAUGAGUCCAGAGGAGGCCAGGUGUGGGGCCAGGAGAAAGGAAUGAGUCCAGAGGAGGUCAGGUGUGGGGGCCAGGAGAAAGGAAUGAGUCCAGAGGAGGCCAGGUGUGGGGCCAGGAGAAAGGAAUGAGUCCAGAGGAGGCCAGGUGAGGGGGCCAGGAGAAAGAAUAGAUGGGGGAAGGGAGGAGUUGGCUGCCACUUGAAAGGAGACCCUGCAAAGAAAACAGGUUUGUUUUUUUUUUUUUUUAAACCAUGUGGUUGCUGGGAAUUGAACUCAGGACCUUUAGAAGAGCAGUCAGUGCUCUUAACCUCUGAGCCAUCUCUCCAGCCCCAGAAAACUUUUUUUUUUUUUUUUUUUUUUUUGGUUCUUUUUUUCGGAGCUGGGGACCGAACCCAGGGCCUUGCGCUUCCUAGGUAAGCGCUCUACCACUGAGCUAAAUCCCCAGCCCCCAGAAAACGGUUUUUAAAAGAGUGUUAAAUCGCCACAUGAAAGCAUUGUUUUACAGACAAAAACUGAAAAUUUCUGCUUCUUCACUAGAUUGGUGGCUUAGUUUCAAAUUAGUCCCAUACACAGCAACUGUGAGUACACCCGGGACUUUCAGGAGUCAUUAUUUGAUCACCUGAGGUCUGAGUGACACCAUAGCAUAGCCAUUUGAUUGUGAGUAGGCUGUUUCUCGGUUUGGAGACGUACACUUGUGCCUUGGGAUGACUAGCACACAUAAGAGUGCAUGGAGCAAGACUGGUCUCAGAAACACAGAGGCUUUGCCUCAGUGACCUUCGGGGACCUUGAUCUUUCAGUGGUAUCUAUAAUUCUAUCCACUUGCUGACUUUCUUGGCACCUUGUCUUGUCUUCUUUGCAUCUGGCUGGUAUAGUCUCUCUGAUCUCUCUCUCUCUCUCUCUCUCUCUCUCUCUCUCUCUCUCUCUCUCUCUCUAAGUGUGCCAGACACUCUUUUGCCCUUUGCCUAAGGUCCUGAGUUCAAUCCCCUGCUGGGGCUCUGGGGCUGGGGUCUAGCUCAGGGUAUAGCACUUGUUUAGCAUCCAAGAGGCUCUGAGCUCAUCUCCAGCAAAACAGACACACUACACAUAUACACUCACACUCACACACUCACUCACACACACACUCACACACAAAUACACACUUACACUCACAUCACACACACAUACACACAGUCACACACACACUCACACACACAUACACACAUUCACACACACACACUCACACAUGCACACACUCACACUCACACACGCACACACAAGUUGUAUUUUAUUCACAUACUAAUAGACCUAAUGAAAACUAGAUACUGUGGUUCAGGAAUUUCGUGUUGACAACUAAGUAUGUAUUUUUGUUUGGCUAAAUAUAUAUUCUAUUAUGCUUGACAAUUCAGCUCAUUUGUCUCUAUGUCUUAGGUAAUCCUACAUCGACAUUUAGUUGUAGUAAACAAGACAGUGGUCCCGUAUACAUUUUGCCCAGGAUCCGUGAGUCUGUGUGUCCUUCUGCCAAGCCAAAGGCAGCCUGCCCACUUGUCUCUCAGACAUCCUGGCCGUUCUCCACUGAAGGUUCAACUCACCUGGGCCCCAGUCCUCACCUCCCAAGCCCUGGCUCCUUGAGCCUGUUGAUGCCGUCUGCGUAUAGAUGUGGGCUCUGGCUGCCAGCUCAGAGCCUCUUAUACCUCCCCACUCCUUGCUUCUCACUCCUUUUCUUGUUUUGGUGUUCCUGAGAAUUUUUACCUGGGACAUUAAAAAUAAUUAUUCUUUA